GGGGGCCGGGCACGCUUACCUCCGGCAGCUGAGGGAUCUGAAUGAGCCGCUUGAAAUACUGGAGGUUGCUUGAGCGGUAGAACAGAUCUUUCAACCUGGGGGGUGGAGAAGGGCCUCAGGGGUGCUGGGCGCCUUCCCCAGCCCCGGGUUGGGGACACUGCAGCCACCCAGGUCUCCUGCUGCCCACCCAGCCCAAAGGCGUGGGCUGUCAAGGAGACGGCUUCCAUGGCGCUGGGCUUCAAUUAUGAUGCUACAGGGGGAAGGUCAUUUGUAGCCAGUCCUCACAGGAGACAGGGAUUCAAAUGACCGAAUCCUCUGGAAGAGCGGAUCAUCCCAGAACAAGAUCUGCAUCACCACAGAAUCUACGCUGUUGUCUGGCUGAUGUCUCUUCCCAAGAAUGUUCGGCUUAGAAUAACACGACAAUAAAUUUACUCUCUCUGAGGAUAAACCACCUAACCAUAAGAAAAGGGAAGGGAACUUAAUUACUAAGGUCUCUGUUUUCAAUCGAAACCUGGAAGGCCCAGAAAGCAGAGGGCACCAGACAGAUUUCCUGAGAGGAAAGAGCAUCGUGGGUCUCAGCACCCUCUCUCGGCAACCUCUCUCAGAAUCUCCUUCAGCUCAGCCCAAUAAACUAAACCCCUGGGAUCUCAUGUCAGCCAUUCUGACCCCAAGGCUGGAACUGCCCCUGUGAUGUCAUUGGUGCUUUCCCCAAAGUCGUCGACACUGAGGCCUCUGGGAGCUGCCAGCCACUUACUUCGAGAACUGCUCCAUGAAGCGGUCCCGGUGGCCUUGCAGGGUGUCAGCUGGGAGACCUGGAAGAUAUUGGAAUAGAGUGAGAGGGAAGAGGACCACAGGAGGACCAGUGCAAGCCAUUCUGGGCACAGUGGGCUGGAAGUUGUGUCCCUGACCACAGAAGCGACCGUGGUUGACCAGACCAAGCUGCGGGACAGAAGGGAUCCAGAGAGCCUGCCUGAGAGGUUGGCUGUGCGAAGGCAAAGAUUGCGGACAACACUCAGGAUCUCAGUCCGGUGCUCGUUCGGCCCUGCCGCCGCACGAUGCUGGACGAGUGGCAGCAUCUAAGCGCCAGCCUCCGCCCCUACAGAGCGGGCUCUCUGAGGUCCUUUCCGCUCCCAGAUUAUGUCACUCUGUGUACUUCAACUACAGAUCACAGCUCAGCGAUCCUUUCAGUUCUUGCUUUAUUCCUUAAAUUUACAUUUUAGUAAUUUUUGGGUAGGUGAUGUUUGGUAUAAAUAGGGAGCACAUGCAAAAUGUAGGAGAAUUCAGAAUGCCAAGUAUAUACGGUGGAUGACGAUGGCACUGUACCUCCGUGAUCUCUCUCCCAAGAACCCUUAGCCCCAGUCGUGAGAAAAACAGCGGACAGACUUAAAUUGAGGAACAUUCUACAAGUGUCUGACCGAUUCUCCCCUAAACCGCCAAGGUCACAAGUCUGAGACACUGUCACGGCCAAGAAGGAGCCUAGGGGGACACAAAGACUAAAUGUAAUGUGGCGUCCUGGAUGGCACAUUAGGUAAAAACUGGGGGAAUCUGAAUAAAAUCUGGACUUCA